rnacentral:rRNA from 1 species
UGGGGAAUUUUGGACAAUGGGCGAAAGCCUGAUCCAGCAAUGCCGCGUGUGUGAAGAAGGCCUUCGGGUUGUAAAGCACUUUUGUCCGGAAAGAAAUCCUUGGCUCUAAUACAGUCGGGGGAUGACGGUACCGGAAGAAUAAGCACCGGCUAACUACGUGCCAGCAGCCGCGGUAAUACGUAGGGUGCAAGCGUUAAUCGGAAUUACUGGGCGUAAAGCGUGCGCAGGCGGUUUGCUAAGACCGAUGUGAAAUCCCCGGGCUCAACCUGGGAACUGCAUUGGUGACUGGCAGGCUAGAGUAUGGCAGAGGGGGGUAGAAUUCCACGUGUAGCAGUGAAAUGCGUAGAGAUGUGGAGGAAUACCGAUGGCGAAGGCAGCCCCCUGGGCCAAUACUGACGCUCAUGCACGAAAGCGUGGGGGAGCAAACAGGAUUAGAUACCCCUGGUAGUCCACGCCCUAAACGAUGUCAACUAGUUGUUGGGGAUUCAUUUCCUUAGUAACGUAGCUAACGCGUGAAGUUGACCGCCUGGGGAGUACGGUCGCAAGAUUAAAACUCAAA